rnacentral:rRNA from 1 species
AUUGAACGCUGGCGGCAGGCCUAACACAUGCAAGUCGAACGGUAACAGGAAACAGCUUGCUGUUUCGCUGACGAGUGGCGGACGGGUGAGUAAUGUCUGGGAAACUGCCUGAUGGAGGGGGAUAACUACUGGAAACAGUAGCUAAUACCGCAUAACGUCGCAAGACCAAAGAGGGGGACCUUCGGGCCUCUUGCCAUCGGAUGUGCCCAGAUGGGAUUAGCUAGUAGGUGGGGUAACGGCGCACCUAGGCGACGAUCCCUAGCUGGUCUGAGAGGAUGACCAGCAGCAGUGGAACUGAGACACGGUCCCGACUCCUACGGGAGGCAGCAGUGGUGAAUAUUGCACAAUGGGCGCAAGCCUGAUGCAGCCAUGCCGCGUGUAUGAAGAAGGCCUUCGGGUUGUAAAGUACUUUCAGCGGGGAGGAAGGGAGUAAAGUUAAUACCUUUGCUCAUUGACGUUACCCGCAGAAGAAGCACCGGCUAACUCCGUGCCAGCCGCCGCAGUAA